rnacentral:rRNA from 1 species
UACGGGGGGAGCAAGCGUUGUUCGGAUUUACUGGGCGUAAAGGGCGCGUAGGCGGUCAGCACAAGUCAGUUGUGAAAUCUCCGGGCUUAACUCGGAAAGGUCAACUGAUACUGUGCGACUAGAGUGCAGAAGGGGCAACUGGAAUUCUCGGUGUAGCGGUGAAAUGCGUAGAUAUCUAGAGGAACACCGGUGGCGAAGGCGGCAUCCUGGACCAAUUCUGACGCUGAGGAGCGAAAGCCAGGGGAGCAAACGGG